rnacentral:rRNA from 1 species
GACGAACGCUGGCGGCGUGCUUAACACAUGCCAGUCGAACGGUGAAGCGCCUUCCUUUUUGGUGGGUGUGGAUGAGUGGCGAACGGGUGAGUAACACGUGAGUAACCUGCCCCCUUCUUCUGGAUAACCGCAUGAAAGUGUGGCUAAUACGGGAUAUUCUGGGUCUGUCGCAUGAUGGGUCUGGGAAAGAUAUUGUUUCGGUGGGGGAUGGGCUCGCGGCCUAUCAGCUUGUUGGUGGGGUGAUGGCCUACCAAGGCGGUGACGGGUAGCCGGCCUGAGAGGGUGGGAGGGCACCACGGGGCUGGGGCCCCGGCCAGACCCCUACCGGGAGGAAGCGUGGGGAAUAUUGCACAAUGGGCGCAAGCCUGAUGCAGCGACGCCGCGUGAGGGAUGGAGGCCUUCGGGUUGUGAACCUCUUUCGCCAGUGAAGCAGGCCUGCCUCGUUUGUGGGUGGGUUGACGGUAGCUGGAUAAGAAGCGCCGGCUAACUACGUG